rnacentral:rRNA from 1 species
UAGGGAAUCUUCCGCAAUGGACGCAAGUCUGCCGGAGCAACGCCGCGUGCGUGAAGAAGGAUUUCGGUUCGUAAAACUCUGUUGUUAGAGAAGAACAGCGCAUAGAGUAACUGUUAUGCGUGUGACGGUAUCUAACCAGAACGCCACGGCUAACUACGUGCCAGCAGCCGCGGUAAUACGUUGGUGGCAAGCGUUGUCCGGAUUUAUUGGGCGUAAAGCGAGCGCAGGCGGUCAAUUAAGUCUGAUGUGAAAGCCCCCGGCUCAACCGGGGAAGGUCAUUGGAAACUGGGUGACUUGAGUGCAGAAGAGGAGAGUGGAAUUCCAGGUGUAGCGGUGAAAAGCGUAGAUAUAUGGGGGAACACCAGUGGCGAAGGAGACUCUCGGGUCGGUUACUGACGCAGAGGCUCGAAAGCGUGGGUAGCAAACAGG